AUUGAACGCUGGCGGCAGGCCUAACACAUGCAAGUCGAACGGCAGCGCGGGGCAACCUGGCGGCGAGUGGCGAACGGGUGAGUAAUAUAUCGGAACGUACCCAGAAGUGGGGGAUAACGUAGCGAAAGUUACGCUAAUACCGCAUACGAUCUACGGAUGAAAGUGGGGGACCUUCGGGCCUCAUGCUUGUGGAGCGGCCGAUAUCUGAUUAGCUAGUUGGUAGGGUAAAGGCCUACCAAGGCGACGAUCAGUAGCUGGUCUGAGAGGACGACCAGCCACACUGGGACUGAGACACGGCCCAGACUCCUACGGGAGGCAGCAGUGGGGAAUUUUGGACAAUGGGCGCAAGCCUGAUCCAGCAAUGCCGCGUGAGUGAAGAAGGCCUUCGGGUUGUAAAGCUCUUUUGUCAGGGAAGAAACGGCUGAGGAUAAUACCUUCGGCUAAUGACGGUACCCGAAGAAUAAGCACCGGCUAACUACGUGCCAGCCGCCGCGGUAAGAC
rnacentral:rRNA from 1 species